rnacentral:rRNA from 1 species
AGGACGAACGCUGGCGGCGUGCUUAACACAUGCAAGUCGAGCGGUAAGGCCUCCUUCGGGGGGUACACGAGCGGCGAACGGGUGAGUAACACGUGGGUGACCUGCCCUCAGCUCUGGGAUAAGCCUGGGAAAACCGGGUCUAAUACCGGAUAGGACUGCUUGUCGCAUGGUGGGUGGUGGAAAGUUUUUUCGGCUGGGGAUGGGCCCGCGGCCUAUCAGCUUGUUGGGUGGGGUGAUGGCCUACCGAAGGCGGUGACGGGUA